CAUGCAAGUCGAACGGUAACAGAGCUAGCAAUAGCUGCUGACGAGUGGCGGAUGGGUGCGUAACGCGUAUGCAACCUACCUGUAAUUGGAACAUAACGUUGAGAAAUUAGCGCUAAUAUUCCAUGUGGAUAUGAGACGGCAUCGUUUUAUAUUUAAAGAUUUAUUGAUUACAGAUGGGCAUGCGUAUCAUUAGCUAGUUGGUAAGGUAACGGCUCACCAAGGCAACGAUGAUUAGGGGUUCUGAGAGGAUAUCCCCCCACACUGGAACUGAGACACGGUCCAGACUCCUACGGGAGGCAGCAGUAGGGAAUAUUGGGCAAUGGAGGCAACUCUGACCCAGCCAUGCCGCGUGAAGGAAUACAGCCCUACGGGUUUUAAACUUCUUUUAUUAUAGAGUAACCGGAGGUACGUGUACCUCCCUGCAAGUAUAUAAUGAAUAAGGAUCGGCUAACUCCGUGCCAGCAGCCGCGGUAAUACGGAGGAUCCGAGCGUUAUCCGGAUUUAUUGGGUUUAAAGGGUGCGCAGGCUGAUCGAUAAGUCAGGGGUGAAAAAUUUCAGCUUAACUGGAAUCGUGCCUUUGAUACUGUCGGACUAGAGUGUAACUGACGUGACUGGAAUGUGCCGUGUAGCGGUGAAAUGCUUAGAUAUGUCACAGAACGCCAAUCGUGAAGACAGGUCACGAAGUUACUACUGACGCUCAUGCACGAAAGCGUGGGGAUCAAACAGGAUUAGAUACCCUGGUAGUCCACGCUGUAA
rnacentral:rRNA from 1 species